AGAGCAGCCGGCGCAAACGAUGCCUCACAGGUGUACAGCGGUGGAGCCCCGGACCAUUUGCAAAGAUCUUUGAAAGGCCCGAUACUCUAUGAAUGCAGAGCGCUCUCUUUGUUAUUCCACCCCAUUAGGAUCACAGGCCUGUGUUUGGAUCCUGGCUUCUUCAUUCAUCAACUGAUUUGGGGCCUCUCUGAACCUCAACUUUCCUAUUUGGAAAAUGGGAAUAAUAACUCCUCCUUUAUGUGGAUUAACCAAGAUAAUGCUUGUAAGCACCUACUUCCGUGCCUGAUAUCUAGAGACGAGUUCAACCCCUGAUCCAGGAGGAUCCCACAUGUUGCACAGCACCAUGUGCAACAGAACUACUGAGCCUGUGCUCUGGAGCCUGGGAGCCACAGCUACUGACCGCACGCACCGCAACCACGAAAGCUCGAGUCCCCUAGGAGCCCACGCCUUGCAAUAAGAGAAGCCACUGCAAUGAGAAGCCCGCACACCACGACAAAGAGAAGACCCGCUGGCUACAGUGAGAGAAAAGCCCGCACAGCAACAAAGACUUAACACAGUCAAAAAUAAAUAAUUAAUUUAAAAUUAAAAUAUUAACGUCUCUUUCCUCAGCCAGAUGCUGUGUGCUAC
ensembl:lncRNA